rnacentral:rRNA from 1 species
GAUGAACGCUGGCGGCGUGCUUAACACAUGCAAGUCGAACGGAAAGGCCCUGCUUUUGUGGGGUGCUCGAGUGGCGAACGGGUGAGUAACACGUGAGUAACCUGCCCUUGACUUUGGGAUAACUUCAGGAAACUGGGGCUAAUACCGGAUAGGAGCUCCUGCUGCAUGGUGGGGGUUGGAAAGUUUCGGCGGUUGGGGAUGGACUCGCGGCUUAUCAGCUUGUUGGUGGGGUAGUGGCUUACCAAGGCUUUGACGGGUAGCCGGCCUGAGAGGGUGACCGGCCACAUUGGGACUGAGAUACGGCCCAGACUCCUACGGGAGGCAGCAGUGGGGAAUAUUGCACAAUGGGCGGAAGCCUGAUGCAGCAACGCCGCGUGCGGGAUGACGGCCUUCGGGUUGUAAACCGCUUUCUCCUGUGACGAAGCGUGAGUGACGGUAAUGGGUAAAGAAGCACCGGCUAACUACGUG